rnacentral:lncRNA from 1 species
AUAGGUUGCUAUUUUAUCAUUUAUUUUAUUAUUAAUUUCCCCUAUUACCUGACCCAAGGUGAAUUAAUUGUUAAAUUCUACUCACUUUUAGUGUUUUGCAUUUAUUUCAGGGAGUAGAAUGAAAAUAUGAUAACAAAUGCCAAUUUGACAGAAAAAAGAGUCCAAGUCAUAGAGCUUAUCCGAGGGGCAUAGUUGGCAAAGGAAAAUUUGUUCCCAUCUUGGUAAUUACUGAUGAGUGCGGAAGACAGUAUAAAAAAAGAAGAAAAAGGAACGCAGGGCUAGUCUUCUUCUCUCUCUCGGGAGAGAGCCGCCGCACAAGGGAAGACCAUUAGAUAGGAAUUGGAUUGAGUAGCGGAGGAUCAUUAUCUCCAUUAGCUUAGUGUUCCUUUGGUUUUUUCUUUCUCACGCAUGGCAGGACUGCUUAGUAGUUUCAGCUUUGACUUUUCUUUUGGGCACUACUGAAGCUUAGUUUUUAAUGUGUUUCCUUGGAGGCUUCUUAGUAGUUUUUGUCUCCUGGGAUGUCAGGAGCAAUUAGGUGCAAUUGAAUGAUUUUCCAGUGGCUUUUCUCCCAAACACAAAAGAUGGCCGUAGCUUUUGCUUCAGUUUCAUACGUUUUGUUCUCAUUAAACAUGAAUUAAUUUCUCCACUCUAGUCAAGGAGCAACGGAGGCUUUGGGUCAUCUAAAAUUGUGAGAUCGAUUUAAUUUUAUCUUUUUCUCUAUUUAUUGGUAUUCGCAUAUCCCUUGGUUGCAGUACUUAUGAUUGUUUAAUUAAUUGAUUGUCUUGGAUCCGGAUAAUUAGUUAAUUUGAUAAUCUAUUGUCAAUUGGGACGUUGAAUCUGUAAUUGUUUAAUUGUCUCAAAAUAGUGGCAACUGGCAUGAUUGGGUUUGUGUCAGGAGAAUACGCGGGCUAACCUAAAAUAACCCUGGUAGUGUGUUAUUUGGUUAGAAUAGGGCUCCUCUAAUACGUAAGGCAAUUGGGGAAUUAAAUCUUAUGGGCGUACCUAAGAUUAUUUCUCAAUUAGAGCAGUGAUUAACGGGCGUACCUUAAUCACCGACACAGUAAGGAGGGGUUGAUUGUCAUCGCUUGUUUGGCAGUUAUAACCUAUUUAUUAGUAAAUAAUUGGAAUUGCCUUUAUUUCGAUGAUCAAUUAGGUGAACCAUUGCUGAAGUUAUUCCUUGGCUAGAUCCUUUGAUUUUAGUAAAUUGUUAUUUAAUUUCUAAUUGGCUAUUUUAUUCUUAUUAUUUUACUUUUAGUUGAAUUGUUUAAAUUGUCACCCCUGAUAUAAAAAAUACCCCCUUGUCACUGUGAACUUGAAAAGAAGCAAUUACUCCCAGUCCCUGUGGAUUCGACCCUACUCACCGCUAUCUACAGAAAUUACUUUUAGUUUGAGCAGGUUUUAUUAUUGCACAGGCUUCGACAACCUGUCAAUUUUUGGCGCCGUUGCCGGGGACUGGUGCCAGAUUAAUUUGUUUCUUUUUUAGUUCAUCUUGUUUUUAUUUUUUUUAAUUUAUUUUUUCUCUUAUUUUUUUUAUUUUUUUUUAUAGUUUAUGACUGCUAACAUUCCGUAUUUUGAUGAUAGACUGGACUUUGUUCCUGAAUGGGGUUAUGAGACUCAUGUUUUUCCUAAUGAUCAAUGGGCUGUUGCAAAUUGUGGAACUUAUUUUGACUCAGGUUAUUCAACUGACACAUGCCCCGCAUUUCAAGAUAAUCUAAGUGCUUCAAUUGAUACUUUUGGAGAUUUUCCACCCCAAUAUCAAACGCAGUAUGACUCUUAUUCAAACGGGUAUGAUCAAGGAUGGUGGGAUGAUUCCAAUUUUGAUUAUGCGACCGAGCCAAUGGAUUUUCAACAGCAAGAGUCUCAACAACUAUCGUCCAUGUCAGGUAUGUCUCUUCAGGAAUUGAUUGAAUUAUUUGCUACUAAUACAUAUCGAUUUCAUCAGGAGACACAAGCGAACCUUCGCGACCCGAAGGAUCAAAUGAAUCAAUUGACAUCCAGGAUAGCGCGAUUAGCUUCUCACUUUGAAGAAUUGCCCGCACAAACCAAUAUCAACCUUGAGGAAGAUGAGAGUGCAAUUGUCCGGCCAAAUGACAUGGAACUGCAAGAGUUUCAAGAAAACGGAUUUAAAGAUGCAGUUGAAAAGGAAGUUGAAGUGCAAGAAAUGAGAUUCCAGGAUCAACUCGUUCAAGUGAAUGAAUCCAGUGAACAAUCUCCAAAUGCGGUGACAUCUUCUCUAUUCCUUCAUCAAUAUUCUCCUGACUCUUAUUCUUCAAUUCCUGUUAAUGAAAUUGACUUUAUUAUACCAGAAAAUUUUGAAUUUCAUGACAGGAAUAAAUUAAGAGUGGCGAUGACAAGAUAUCUUGAACCAAUAAAUGCAAGUGAGGGAGGAGAGAAUGGAGAAUUCAACUUAUCGUUGACUUGUUUGGCGCCAUUUACUAGUCCAGGGAAGACUGUAGCUCGUGUGCUCAAGGAUCACUCUAUUUAUGAGGGUUAUCAGGACGAUAAAGAAGAUGAAACAUUAAGACGAGCUACAAGAUUUUAUCCUCCAUGAACAAAACAUGAUAAUGUCUAGCCAAAGACAUUAAAGAAAGGUGCUCAUUGGGAGGCAACCCAAUUUCUUUUAGUUAUUUGUUCAUUUUUUUCGUUAGUUUAAAUAUAUUUUUCCUUGAAUUUGACUGAUUUUGGGUUUCAAUUUUCAUUUUUGAUGAUUUGUAGGUGUCUUUCUGUCAUGACGCACCCGCAUCAUGACGUCUGGAGAGCUCACGGUCAGAAUCGUCAGAAGGGGUUCCUGCCCUCAUGACGGACCCGCGUCAUGACCCAUGAAGAGCUCAAGGUUAGAGAGUUCCCCCGUUUUCAUUCCGUGCCUUCGUCAGAGAGCUAAAUGUUGAGUUUUGCAAUUGUUAUAGAAAACAAUUUAAUUAAAAAAAAAAAAUUUCUUAAAAAUUAAAAUUUUUUUUUCCUUUUCACCGUAGCUUAAAUUUCCAAAAAAAAAAAAAAACUCUUUCAUUUUCCUUCUUUUCUUUUCUUUCUUUUUCUUUCUUUCUUUCUUCUUCUUUCUUUCUUCUUUCUUUCUUCCCCGCUGCCCCUGUUCUCCCAUUCUUUCUUUUCCUCUGCGCACGCUGCCGUUUCCGUCCGCCGCCUCCCACUCCUGCCCGCUGCGACGCACGACUGUCCACGACUCUGCACGAAGGCCACGCGCACGUGGCCCGUUGCACCUCGUCGCCGCUGCGCACCUUGCGCUCCAUCUCCACCCGCGCCAUCAGCCGUCCACUUCGCACGCCGCCAGCCCCAAGCUCCACCGUGGCGAGCAACCCACCACCCUCCGUCGCGCGUCGCAGCUAGGCGCCGUCUCCUUCACCAGCACCUUAGCAGCCUCCACCGCCGUUUCGCUGUACAUUUGAGCUCACCCAACGAACCACCAGACCAAGGCCGCACGCCUCACCUGCCAUCUCUCCGCUUUUCCUUUGCUGCGCCGUCACCACCUGUCAAUUUUGACAGGUGGAGGUAUUGAAGUCUCUUCCUCGAUUAGUACUUUUCUGGAUCCUAAAUUGCUGGAAUUUGUGUCUUUUUCCUUGGUUUCUUGAUGGUUAAAAACAGGAGGUGCCUUGCUUGAUUUUCUCUUUCCCGUGUUGAAUUGUUUGGGGGUUUCUAUUGCAUCUUUGGGGCGGGUAUUUGGGAGCAUCUCUGAUAGUUAAUUUAUUUGGGAGCUAGUUGGGGUUGAUUUGGGAGUUCUUUGCAAAUUGAUUCCCAAUUUGGCUUCUUCUAAUCUCUGGUGGUGUUGGUUGGGAUGUCUCAGUCAUUUGGACUGCAUGUUUGAAUUGUUUUUACCUGUGUGGACACCAGUGGUACUGGUUGUGAUAGUUUGCCUAACAUUUAUUCAUUUUCUUUGGUUGGCUGCCUGAUUGAAAGCUCAGAACUUGUGACUGAGUUGUUAUUGCCUAAAAUUAUGACCCGCUAUUACCGGACUUGCUGAAUUCUUGGAGAUAUUUGUUGUAAUUUUGGAUAGAAUUGAGUUCAUUUGUGAGAUUCGUUGAUUUGUUUAGGCAUUAUUACUGUUCCUAGUUUGUUUGAUUGGCAUAUUCAUUGGAAUUGAAUGCGUUCAAGCACAUUGUUUGACGUCCUCUGCCAUUGAUUGAAACUGCUGCAUUGUCUGGGGAUUUGUUGGUUUGAUAGUUAGAUAAAGUGCACGUUUCAUUGUUAACUUGGGCGACAUUAUCAUUGUCGAGUGAUUACUGGUUUUAUUGGCUUUGUUGACUCAUUUAUUCAGUGAAAUUCUAGUUCUCUGUUGCACUCUGUUGGAUUUUGGAAUUUCUAUUUUCUUUAUUGAGUUGGUUGUUCAGUGGUGACCAUGGUGAGACCCAGCUCCUCUUCUAGGUCUAGGACCUCCCAACCUCCACCACCUCCACCCCGCUCAUUGCCACUACUGUCGCUUGGACUAAGACGUACACCGGAGCUCUCAUUCUCUCUGCAAUCCUUCACUGCUACAAACUACCGUAGCACUAUUUUCACUCCACCGUUCCCAUCUUUUCCAUAGCUGCUCGAGACCUUCCAUCACGUAUUAAGGGAAGUUUUGUUAUCCUGUUUGCUUUCUCUGCUUUAUGACCUCUAUUGAGGACAAUGUAGGAUUUCAGUGUGGGGGGGAGCAGUUAUGGUGUUAGUUUUUCUAGUUCUUAGUUUCAGAUAUUUUUCUUUUAUUUUUAGUUUGUUAUUUGUCUAGUUUUCGCUUAUUUUUUGUCAUUUAUCUGUCUAGCUCUCCUGUGGAUGCCAAGGUUUGAUGUUGGAUUGUUGCCUCUAUUUCUACUUUUGCCAAGUUUUAGUAAUAAAAGCGUAUUGAGUUGAUGUGGUUGAGUCCAAAAACAUCUCUUUGGUGAAUAUCGGUGAUUGUUUUACUCUUAUAAUUUUUGGUUAACUUUUCUAAGCAUUGGGAAUGACUAUUGGCAUUUUCAUGUGAAUUGGUCUGGUUAUUAACCUUAGUUCUCCAUAUUUAAAUUUGAGGCUAGCGGCUGCAAAUUUUCUUUUGAUUUUUGUUUUAUAUUGAGUUUUUGUGUUAUUAGCUGUGAAUAAGAGUUGACUGUACUCCGCUAGUCUUUACUACUGAGUAACCGAGGAUCUGCACCUAAAACUGUUGAUUCUCGCGUCAAAAAAUAGUAAUUGCUAUGAGUACGUGGUCAUGUGGCGAUAGAAGCUGAGUAACCGGGCUCUUUCAUCUGACAAAUAUCGGAGUUCGCGUCAAAAGGCUCCAAUGGCUAGUGACUAAGUCUUCUGUUACUAUUGAAAAAGCAAAAAAAAAAAAAAAGCAAAAGAGAAAAGUAGAAAAAAUGUAAUAAAAAAGUGAAAAUUGUGUUAGUGUAUAAUAAAAGUCAGCUUGCCGAUUUAUGAAUUUAAUGUUAAGAUUUUGGUUAAUAGUUGGACCAUUUGCUGAUAAAUGUUGUGUAUCAUUCUUUUUUCUUAGAUUAGUUAACCUGAAAUUAGAGGAGUUUAUGGUUUAGAAGCUAAUCGGAGUGAUGUUUCUUGGAUUUGACCAUUGAUGCUUGAUUAUUAUUAUUUUUGGUAUCUUGGCAAUUUAGUGGAUAGAGCAAUAGCCACUAUCAAAUAUUGGUGUUUGUUUGCUGUUCUCAUGCUUGAGAACAAGCAUGGUUUAGAUGUAGGGGGAAUUGAUAGGUUGCAAUUUUAUCAUUUAUUUUAUUGUUAAUUUCCCAUAUUACCUGACCCAAGGUGAAUUAAUUGUUAAAUUCUACUCACUUUUAGUGUUUUGCAUUUAUUUCAGGGAGUAGAAUGAAAAUAUGAUAACAAAUGCCAAUUUGACAGAAAAAAAGUCCAAGUCAUAGAGCUUAUCCGAGGGGCAUAGUUGGCAAAGGAAAAUUUGUUCCCAUCUUGGUAAUUGCUGAUGAGGGCGGAAGACAGUAUAAAAAAA